rnacentral:rRNA from 1 species
AAUGAACGCUGGCGGCAUGCCUAAUACAUGCAAGUCGAGCGAACCCUUCGGGACUAGUGGCCUAUGGGUUCGUCACCGGUCGGAACCUGACCACAUGGUUGGCCUACCUCUCCGACUGGGGUACUAACAGCGGAUCGUGUCUACUACCCAAUGAUUUUUUGACCUUGAAUGUUCCCGCGUUGAAUUAGCUAGUUGUUACGCUAAAAGCCUAACACGGCGACCAUUCAUAGCUGGUUUGAGAGGAUGAUCAGCCACACUGCGACUGAGACACGGCCCAGACUCCUACGGGAGGCAGCAGUGGGGAAUAUUGGACAAUGGGCGAAAGCCUGAACCAGCAAUGCUGCGUGAGUGAUGAAGGCCUUAGGGUUGUAAAGCUCUUUUACCCGGGAUGAUAAUGACAGUACCGGAAGAAUAAGCUCCGGCUAACUCCGUG